GGAGGGGGAGGAGGUGGCCGGAGAGGGGAAGAAGGAGCUGGCUCUAGUCCCCCGCCCAGCCAGGCCCAAGAGCAGAAGGGGCUGGUGGAGGCAAGGACCACCUCCCAGUCGCUCCCAGCCACCCUCUGGAGAUGCAGCAUCCACCUGUCACACGUGUCUUCAAAGACAGAGGCAUGACUGAGCCCUGCCCGCGAGGGCUCUGGUUCCUGGGAGGCAGAACCACCAGGGACCUGCCCAGGAAGCUGCCAGCUGCCCAGCUGUAGCUGUGCAUUGAUCGCGCCGUCAGCCAGGCUGGAGGCCACGGCGGCCACACGGAGGCCACAGCGGAGGCCACGGCGGCGGCCACAUGGAGGCCCAGCGCGGUCUGGUCAGCUCCAAGUGACCUUGGCCCCAGAAGGCCCUUCCCAGUGCCAGGCGUCCAUGCUAUGCUGAUGACCUAAGCAGUGGGUCUGGUGGCCCCUGCGGGCGCCCAGCACAUGGCCUGCCAAGUUCCUGCACCUGCACACCCAGAAGUCGCUUCAGCCACCUCAGGCCCCGGGACCCCCAGCUGGUGGCCCUGCCCGUGGGGCCCAGGACAGAAGGAGAGGCAGAGCCCGGGCCUCUCUCCUGGGCACCUGCCCAGAGAGCCCCCUGUGGGAAUCCUGCCCACGCUGAGGCCCCGGGGGAGGCCUGCCUCCUGCCGCUGCCCGUCCCUCACCCACCCUCCUGCCUCAUCCCUGCCUGAGGCAGCUCCCGGGCCAGUGUGAAAUGCUGCACCUCGCUGGGGACUCGGCACACCCCUCGUCCUCAGGAGAGGAAAACGCAGGUCCUCACCACAGCCUGCCGCCCGAGAAGCUGAUCAAGCAGCUUUUCGAUUGAUGAGCUGCGUUCACAUCCAUGUCCCACAGCUGCUGGAGGUGUUGGUGCCCCCGGGUCCUGGCCUCGGCUCUCCCCCCAUUGAAAGGGUGACCCAACAUGAGACUGGCCCCCAUGUCCACCUGCACGUGGACCCCCUGGAGCGGGAGUGCUGCUGGUUCCUGCCCCCACCCCCCACUGACCACACAGACGCCGCAGGGCAGAUGACAGGACCCCAGGCCGGGCCAGACGGCGCCGGGCGGGCAGCAGGUGACCCUUACAGGGGCCGGCAGAGGGCCGGGCGGCCCCAGGAAGCCGCCACCGGCGGGACAUGACCAAGUGGGCUUCGGGGGGCUCCGGAUGCUGUGAACCCCAGAACCUGAGUCCCGUAUAAUUUUUAGUCAUCAUGAAAUAAGAUUCUUCCUUUGGGUUUUCUCCCCCUCGAUCAUUAAAAGAUAAAAAGCCAUUCCCA